rnacentral:RNase_P_RNA from 1 species
GGUGCAAGUCGUCUUGUCGCUGUCUCGCAAGGGAGAGAGGAAAGUCCGGGCAACGCAGAGCGCCAUACUUCCUAACGGGAAGGGUGCUGACUGGGAACGGUCAGUAUACAGCUAGUGCCACAGAAAAUAAACCGUCCGACCCGAUUUCUAUCGGGAUGGAUAAGGGUGAAAAGGUGGGGUAAGAGCCCACCGGGCUGAUGGUGACAUCAGUUGCAUGGCAAACCUUAUGGGUUGAAAGAUCAAAUAGGCCCCGGACGAAGAGCUGCUCGUUCGAUUCCGAUUCGUCGGAAAUCCGGGGCGGGUAGAUCGAUUGAGCCUGCGCGCGAGUUCAGGCCUAGAUAAAUGACAAGAAUCCCGCAAGGGAAACAGAACCCGGCUUACAGACUUGCACUUUUU